CCUACGGGAGGCUGCAGUGAGGAAUAUUGGUCAAUGGCCGGAAGGCUGAACCAGCCAUGCCGCGUGAAGGUCAGUGCCCUAUGGGCGUUAAACUUCUUUUGUGCGGGAGCAAUAAUGGUCACGUGUGGCCAGACGAGAGUACCGUACGAAUAAGCAUCGGCUAACUCCGUGCCAGCAGCCGCGGUAAUACGGGGGAUGCAAGCGUUAUCCGGAUUUAUGUGGGUUAAAGGGUGCGUAGGCUGUGAGGUAAGUCAGCGGUGAAAUGCCUCCGCUCAACGGGGUGAAGUGCCAUUGAUACUGCCUGGCUUGAAUGCGGAUGCCGUGGGAGGAAUGUGUGGUGUAGCGGUGAAAUGCAUAGAUAUCACACAGAACACCGAUUGCGAAGGCAUCUCACGAAUCCGCGAUUGACGCUGAUGCACGAAAGCGUGGGUAUCAAACAGGAUUAGAUACCCGGGUAGUC
rnacentral:rRNA from 1 species